rnacentral:pre_miRNA from 1 species
CGAGGAUUUUGUUUUUCCUCUUCGUCUUUUGCCUCUGCGUGAAAGGUCAGAGUUACAAUGGAAGACGCAGAGGACUGACUGAGAUCCCAG